rnacentral:tRNA from 1 species
GGAGUUGUAGCUCGGUGGUAGAGCACUUGCCUAGCAUGUGCAAGGCACUGGGUUCGAUCCUCAGCACCA